GACGAACGCUGGCGGCGUGCUUAACACAUGCAAGUCGAACGGAAGGGCCCUGCUUUUGUGGGGUGCUCGAGUGGCGAACGGGUGAGUAACACGUGAGUAACCUGCCCUGGACUUUGGGAUAACUUCAGGAAACUGGGGCUACUACCGGCUAGGAGCUCCUGCUGCAUGGUGGGGGUUGGACAGUUUCGGCGGUUGGGGAUGGAGUCCCGGCUUAUUAGCUUGUUGGGGGGGUAGUGGCUUACCCAGUCAUUGACUGGUGGGCGGCCUGGGAGGGGGAACGGGGACAUUGGGACUGAGAGAGGCCGCAGACUGCUACGGGAGGCAGCAGUGGGGAAUAUUGCACAAUGGGGGGAAGCCUGAUGCAGCAGUGCCGCGUGCGGGAUGAAGGCCUUCGGGUGGUAAACCGCUGUAGCUUGAGACGAAGCGUGAGUGACGGUAAUGGGUAAAGAAGCACCGGCUAACUACGUG
rnacentral:rRNA from 1 species